AGCUUUGCACAGUGGCGAUAUCGUAACCAAUGAGAUCCAUCCGGGGUGCUAUUAUUGCUAAUUGAAAACUUUAAUAUUGUAUUUAAUUCCAAAAUCUUCGUUAAAAUUGCCUAUAUACAACCUCUUGAAUACUAAGCGUAUCAUCAUACGCUUGAUGACUUGUAGUAUAAAUACUCGACAGAAAAUUAAUUUU